rnacentral:rRNA from 1 species
CACUUCGAGGGGCUCGCGGCCUAUCAGCUAGUUGGUGAGGUAACGGCUCACCAAGGCAACGACGGGUAGCUGGUCUGAGAGGAUGGCCAGCCACAUUGGGACUGAGAUACGGCCCAGACUCCUACGGGAGGCAGCAGUGGGGAAUCUUGCGCUAAUGCGGGAAACCGUGACGCAGCGACGCCGCGUGAGGGAAGAAGGCCUUCGGGUUGUAAACCUCUUUCAGGAGGGACGAAGCCACUCGGGUUAAUAGCCCAGAGGGUGACGGUACCUCCAGAAGAAGCCCCGGCUAACUACGUGCCAGCAGCCGCGGUAAUACGUAGGGGGCAAGCGUUGUCCGGAUUUAUUGGGCGUAAAGAGCGUGUAGGCGGCUAGAUAGGUCCGUUGUGAAAACUCGAGGCUCAACCUCGAGACGUCGAUGGAAACCAUCUGGCUAGAGUCCGGAAGAGGAGAGUGGAAUUCCUGGUGUAGCGGUGAAAUGCGCAGAUAUCAGGAAGAACACCCGUGGCGAAGGCGGCUCUCUGGUACGUGACUGACGCUGAGACGCGAAAGCGUGGGGAGCAAACAGGAUUAGAUACCCUGGUAGUCCACGCCGUAAACGAUGGGUGCUAGGUGUGGGGGGUGUCAACUCCCUCCGUGCCGAAGCUAACGCAUUAAGCACCCCGCCUGGGGAGUACGGCCGCAGGGCUAAAACUCAAAGGAAUUGACGGAAUCGAAUU